AACGAACGCUGGCGGCAUGCCUAACACAUGCAAGUCGAACGAGACCUUCGGGUCUAGUGGCGCACGGGUGCGUAACGCGUGGGAACCUGCCCUUAGGUUCGGAAUAACUCCCCGAAAGGGGUGCUAAUACCGGAUAAUGUCUUCGGACCAAAGAUUUAUCGCCUUUGGAUGGGCCCGCGUUGGAUUAGCUAGUUGGUAGGGUAAAAGCCUACCAAGGCGACGAUCCAUAGCUGGUCUGAGAGGAUGAUCAGCCACACUGGGACUGAGACACGGCCCAGACUCCUACGGAAGGCAGCAGUGGGGAAUAUGGGACACUGGGCGAAAGCCUGAUCCAGCAAGGCCGCGUGAGUGAUGAAGGCCUUAGGGUUGUAAAGCUCUUUUACCCGGGAUGAUAAGGACAGUACCGGGAGAAUAAGCCCCGGCUAACUCCGU
rnacentral:rRNA from 1 species